rnacentral:ribozyme from 1 species
GGGCUCAAGGCGUCGUGCGCAUUUGACC